UACGUAGGUGGCAAGCGUUGUCCGGAUUUAUUGGGUUUAAAGGGUGCGUAGGCGGCCUAUUAAGUCAGUUCUGAAAUAUCCCGGCUUAACCGGGAGGGUGGGAUUGAUACUGAUGGGCUUGAGUGGAGUCGAGGUAGGCGGAAUUGACGGUGUAGCGGUGAAAUGCUUAGAUAUCGUCAAGAACACCGAUAGUGUAGACAGCUUACUAGACUUCAACUGACGCUGAGGCACGAAAGUGUGGGGAUCAAACAGGAUUAG
rnacentral:rRNA from 1 species